rnacentral:rRNA from 1 species
AGCGAACGUUAGCGGCGGGCCUAACACAUGCAAGUCGAGCGAGAAAGGGGCUUCGGCCCUGGGUAAAGCGGCGGACGGGUGAGUAACACGUAGGUAAUCUUCCUUCGAGCGGGGGACAACGGUCCGAAAGGAACGCUAAUACCGCGUCAGUUCCCGAGGACCCUGGUCCUUGGGAGGAAAGCUAGGUCGCAAGAUCCGGCACUCGGCGGUGAGCCGGCGGCGCCUCAGCUAGUUGGUGGGGUAAUGGCCUACCAAGGCGAAGACGCGUAGCUGGUCUGAGAGGAUGAUCAGCCACACUGGGACUGAGACACGGCCCAGACUCCUACGGGAGGCAGCAGUGGGGAAUAUUGGACAAUGGGCGCAAGCCUGAUCCAGCCACGCCGCGUGAGUGAUGAAGGCCUUCGGGUCGUAAAGCUCUGUGGGGAGGGACGAACCGCUGCACGUGCAUAGCGUGCAGCAUGACGGUACCUCCUUAGCAAGCACCGGCUAACUUCGUGCCAGCCGCCGCGGUAA